rnacentral:rRNA from 1 species
UGGCGCUAAUCUCUUAAAACCAAUUCUCAGUUCGGAUUGCAGGCUGCAACUCGCCUGCAUGAAGUCGGAAUCGCUAGUAAUCGCGGAUCAGCACGCCGCAGUGAAUACGUUCCCGGGCCUUGUACACACCGCCCGUCACACCACAGAAGUUGGGAGUACCCAAAGUAGGUUGCCUAACCGCAAGGAGGGCGCUUCCUAAGGUAAGACCGAUNACUGGGGUGAAGUCGUAACAAGGUACC